UUCUUAAUAUUUACGUAUAGCGAGGUCGAAUAUAUUGAAGAAUAGGAUAGCAAAUUUCCUUUCUUACCAUGUUUCAUAUGGCAACGUAUUGUUUGAAAGUUAAAAACAAUAAUUUCUUGCCUUUUCAAUUCGUUUUGGGAAGGAAUUUAGAUAGCAGAUUUUGUCUUCUCAAUAUAUUCCCUCUUCCUCAAGAAACUAAUGGAAGGAAACUUUCUGUAUAUGAAUACAAUGCUUAACUAUAUAAAGAGGUUCAUAGCAAAGGAUUUUACACACAAAUUGAAACAGUAGCUACAUAUAACAACUCAUUCCUUCGAUUUAGUUUCUUUGGUGGUAAUUUGUUCCAAUUCCGGUUUCAUUAUAUUGAAAAACUUUAAUGAUGGGGAUGUGGUCACUCUUCAACGAGCUUCACCCUUUGUCAAUGACACCUACAGUUAAAGCGAGACUGAUAAGAUCUUAUGGCAUGCCUUCAACCAAAAAUGAUGAGUUAAAUAGUUUUGAAUGCAUAUUCCAUGAUAUAGAGGGAACUAGGUAUCAUUUCACGGCAUCAAAAUUUAUAAUAUCUAAGUUGAUCUCUAAAUUUGAAGAAGGAUGGCUUUAUGCUAUACGGAACUUCGGUGUUACACAUAAUCAUUCAAAGUUUAGAGUUACGUCACAUAAGUACAAAGCAACUUUUUAUGGAAACACACAAGUUAGAGUUGAAACUAAUACAAUGUUUCCUAAUAUCAUUUAUGCAUUCAAGACCUUUGAUGAUAUUCAAUCGAUUGAAAACAUUGCGGAUGCUGUUCCAAUUGAUGUUAUAGGCAAAGUCGCCUCGAAGCCUAAUCCAACAAAACAGAUAACUCGAGAUGGUAAAGAAAAAAAAUAUUGGAUCUUACUCUUAUUGAUAUCGAGUGAGUAUUUAUGUAUAUAUUUUUUGGUCAUUCUUUCUUUGUUAUUAAAUUAACUUUUGUUGUUCUUGCAAUAUUGUAUAAUAUUUAUUAAAGGGGAAAGACAAUAUCUU